AGUGAACGCUGGCGGUAGGCCUAACACAUGCAAGUCGAACGGCAGCACAGUAAGAGCUUGCUCUUACGGGUGGCGAGUGGCGGACGGGUGAGGAAUACAUCGGAAUCUACUUUUUCGUGGGGGAUAACGUAGGGAAACUUACGCUAAUACCGCAUACGACCUACGGGUGAAAGCAGGGGAUCUUCGGACCUUGCGCGAUUGAAUGAGCCGAUGUCGGAUUAGCUAGUUGGCGGGGUAAAGGCCCACCAAGGCGACGAUCCGUAGCUGGUCUGAGAGGAUGAUCAGCCACACUGGAAGUGGGACACGGUCCAGACUACUACGGGAGGCAGCAGUGGGGAAUAUUGGACAAUGGGGGCAAGCCUGAUCCAGCCAUACCGCGUGGGUGAAGAAGGCCUUCGGGUUGUAAAGCCCUUUUGUUGGGAAAGAAAAGCAGCAGGUUAAUACCCCGCUGUUCUGACGGUACCCAAAGAAUAAGCACCGGCUAACUUCGUG
rnacentral:rRNA from 1 species